UUCAUGGGUUGAGCUGGAAGGACAUGUUUUUUCAAAUGUAAUUUAAGAGCCGUGCUUCUUUGAGAGCUUAACAUCUUCACGGAGAAUCCUGUGUGUAAGACCAGUGUGUGAGGGUAAAGCAGCCAUUCCAUAAAUGGUUGUCUUCAUAUCUGGAAUUCAACAUUGAAUAUUGAAUAUUUAAUAUGUAGCACUAUAAUAAAGUAUAAAACAACCUUAUAAAAGGUUUACAUGUCUUAAAUCUUCCUGAACAUUAACGAACCCGCA